ACCAACGAUAAAAGACAAGACGAAAGAACUGGAAAAUAUGGAACUUCAAGGCUCCAAUAUCUUCAGGAAUUGGUGAAUCAGUUUCAGAACACAACUGAUGAAGGUAUGCUUCAUCUUUAGAGCUUCCGUCGUUGCUUAUAAACAAAGGAGAAGAUUGCUGCAAAUUUGGCAAACUUUGCCUAUGAUCCAUAUAAUUAUUCAUUCCUGCGUCAGGUUCAAAUUCAUGUUUUCUGUGAAAU